rnacentral:rRNA from 1 species
UGGUUCCUACGGGGCGCAGCAGUGAGGAAUAUUGGUCAAUGGGCUAAGGCCUGAACCAGCCAAGUCGCGUGAGGGAAGACGGUCCUAUGGAUUGUAAACCUCUUUUGUCGGGGAGCAAAAGCCGGACGUGUCCGGCUGUGAGAGUACCCGAAGAAAAAGCAUCGGCUAACUCCGUGCCAGCAGCCGCGGUAAUACGGAGGAUGCGAGCGUUAUCCGGAUUUAUUGGGUUUAAAGGGUGCGCAGGCGGAUUUUUAAGUCAGCGGUCAAAUCGUGGGGCUCAACCCCAUCCAGCCGUUGAA